rnacentral:rRNA from 1 species
AGUGAACGCUGGCGGUAGGCCUAACACAUGCAAGUCGAACGGCAGCACAGUAAGAGCUUGCUCUUACGGGUGGCGAGUGGCGGACGGGUGAGGAAUACAUCGGAAUCUACUUUUUCGUGGGGGAUAACGUAGGGAAACUUACGCUAAUACCGCAUACGACCUACGGGUGAAAGCAGUGGAUCUUCGCACCUUGCGCGAUUGAAUGAGCCGAUGUCGGAUUAGCUAGUUGGCGGGGUAAAGGCCCACCAAGGCGACGAUGCGUAGCUGGUCUGAGAGGAUGAUCGGCCACACUGGAACUGAGACACGGUCCAGACUCCUACGGGAGGCAGCAGUGGGGAAUAUUGGACAAUGGGCGAAAGCCUGACCCAGCCAUACCGCGUGGGUGAAGAAGGCCUUCGGGUUGUAAAGCCCUUUUGUUGGGAAAGAAAAGCAGCAGGUUAAUACCCCGCUGUUCUGACGGUACCCAAAGAAUAAGCACCGGCUAACUUCGUG